rnacentral:rRNA from 1 species
UACGGGGGGGGCAAGCGUUGUUCGGAAUUACUGGGCGUAAAGGGCUCGUAGGUGGCCAACUAAGUCAGACGUGAAAUCCCUCGGCUUAACCGGGGAACUGCGUCUGAUACUGGAUGGCUAGAGUUUGGGAGAGGGAUGCGGAAUUCCAGGUGUAGCGGUGAAAUGCGUAGAUAUCUGGAGGAACUCCGGUGGCGAAGGCGGCAUACUGGACCACAUCUGACGCUGAGGCGCGAAAGCCAGGGGAGCAAACGGG